CUCUGUGGUUGGUAAUCCCCUCUUGACAGGAGUGGAGCUAUGGGAUGUGUGUGUGUGUGUGUGUGUGUGUGUGUGUGUGUGUGUGUGUGUGUCUGUGUG